CAACACUUCUAUUCCAGAAGGGUCAAUAUUUUGGUCCAUGGUUACUCUAUUGAGAUCUCUCAUUACUGGGAUGAUGUAGUUGUGGUGAAUGGGAUUAUUUUGAGCCUUCCCUCAGUGUUGAGCCAAGGUAAAGUGAAGAGCUCUCCACGUGUAUUGAGACUGACUUUGGUGUCCUGGUCACAUACAACUGGAACCUCCUGACUGUCCAAGUGCCCAGGGUCUUCUCUGGCUCACUCUAUGGCCUGUGUGGGAACUUUAACGUGGACCCAGAGGACUAUCUAACAGACGACGGGGACAUCUAUGGCUGUGAGGCACUGGGAAACUAGUAACGUUGUUGAAUGUGUGGAUGUGACGACUGUGAACAAUCCCCAAUGCCCCAUCAGGAGCAGGCUCUCUAUUUAGGCAGGGACUACCGAGGGAGUGUUCCAGAACUGCCACGGGAUGGUCAACCCCAAACGCUGCCUUUGACAACUGUCUACAACCUCUGCUACAACAAUGACAAGCAGACUGCCCUGUCAGAUUCUCUCAAUUUACACCGCUGCUUGCCAGGAGGAAGGGGCAAACAUAGAUGAAUGGAGGGCUUCAGAUUAUUGUGGUCUGUACUGUCCAGCCAACAUUGAAUACAACCUGUGCUCCAUCCCUGUGCCCAACAAUUGUGUGGCGUCUCGUGUAAACCUGGGUUCUUCCAUAGUGGUGGGAAGUGUGUCCCCAACACUGAGUGCGGCUGCCUCUGACGGUUUGUGCCACAAGAUCAAGGCAGUGUUUUACUCCCAUGAUCACUGCCAGGUUGCUUCUCUUGUCGGUCAAGGCUAGCUACCAUGCACUGACACCACCUGUUCCAGUGGAACAGAGUGUAGGAUCCAAAAUGGCCCCCGUGACUGCUAUCCAGCGCCAGUUUCAGGGAAGUGCAAAGUGGUGGGAGGCAGGCACUUGGACCUAUGAUGGGCAUAGCUUUGAUCUCCAUAUGGGCAUAUCAAGAAGCCCCCAUUUCCUAAACCAGACAUAUGCCAAGAAUGGAGCAAAUACAUUUUCAUAUAUCCAGCAAGGUCAGCUACACCUGAGGUACAAGGGACUGAAUGACUGUGGAACCGCAGCAGAGGGGGAUGGUUGAGAUGUGUUUUAUAGUAGCGGCCUUAAUCCUAAUGAUAGUUUUCGUCUUGAGCUAUAAUAAAUCUGUUUAAACGUUGAUGUGAUGUUUCAGGUCUGAACUUUGUCUCAAGGUGAAAAGGGCUUCCUGGAACCUUCCGGUCCACCAGGAGAGUAUCAUUGCUGUGCUUUCUGGUCUGACAACACAGGUGGAAAUGGACAAUGGGGCAGUGAUCACGUACGGUGGACCUGACUUCAUACAGCUGUUAUCUCCUCCUGCCUACGCUGGCAAGGCAUGUGGUUGGUGUUGAAACUUCAACAGCGCUGCUACAGAUGAAACUCAGAUGGUCCGUGACGUUUUUCUGUCUGGGGUCAUCUGCCCAGUGUGUAACUGGAUCUUGGCGGCUGAGUUCAAGUUGGAGCAUUUCUGUGGAGUCCUCUCAGCUCCUGCUGGCCUAUUCAGAGACUGCCACGCCACGGUAGACCCACAACCUUUCUUGGACAACUGUGUAAAGGCCCCUGUGUGUGUCUUGAAGGGAUAUGGCAAAGUACUGUGGCAGCCUGAAGGAUUAUUGGGGAGGCAGGGUAGCCUAGUGUUUAGAGUGUUGGACUAGUAACCGAAAGGUUGCAAGUUUGAAUCCCCGAGCUGACUCGGUACAAAUCUGUCAUUCUGCCCCUGAACAGGCAGUUAACCCACUGUUCCUAGGCUGUCAUUGAAAAUAAGAAUUUGUUCUUAACUGACUUGCCUAGUUAAAUAAAGGUAGAAAAAAUUUAAAAAUCUAUGUUUGUAUUUUAUGAAGCCGCAGGCAAGGUCUAGCCAUG